rnacentral:rRNA from 1 species
CAAUAGCGUAUAUUAAAGUUGUUGCAGUUAAAAAGCUCGUAGUUGGAUUUCUGGUUGAAGCGACCGGUCGGGCGUUGAUUCGUCUGCACUGGAGUCGGUUUUGGCCAUCCUCUAGGAAAGUGCGUCUGGUAUUAAGUUAUCGGGCGUAUGAUCCUGGUCUUUUACUGUGAAAAAAUUAGAGUGUUUAAAGCAGGCAUUCGCCUUGAAUACAUUAGCAUGGAAUAAUAAGAUAGGACUUUGGUCUAUUUUGUUGGUUUGCAGACCGAAGUAAUGAUUAAUAGGGAUAGUUGGGGGUAUUUAUAUUCCGAUGUCAGAGGUGAAAUUCUUAGAUUUUCGGAAGAUAAACUUAUGCGAAAGCAUUUACCAAGGAUGUUUUCAUUAA